GGGGAAUAUUGCGCAAUGGGCGAAAGCCUGACGCAGCGACGCCGCGUGAGGGAAGAAGGCUUUCGGGUCGUAAACCUCUGUCAGGAGGGAAGAAGUGGCAUACGGGUAAUAUCCGUAUGUUUUGACGGUACCUCCAGAGGAAGCACCGGCUAACUCCGUGCCAGCAGCCGCGGUAAUACGGAGGGUGCGAGCGUUAAUCGGAAUCACUGGGCGUAAAGCGCACGUAGGCGGCUUGGUAAGUCACAUGUGAAAGCCCUCGGCUCAACCGGGGAACUGCGUGUGAUACUGCCUUGCUUGAGUCCUGGAGAGGGUGGCGGAAUUCCCGGUGUAGGAGUGAAAUCCGUAGAUAUCGGGAGGAACACCAGUGGCGAAGGCGGCCACCUGGACAGGUACUGACGCUGAGGUGCGAAAGUGUGGGGAGCAAAC
rnacentral:rRNA from 1 species